rnacentral:rRNA from 1 species
UACGUGGAGGCGCAAGCGUUGUCCGGAAUUAUUGGGCGUAAAGAGCUCGUAGGCGGCCUGUUGCGUCCGCUGUGAAAGCCCGGGGCUUAACCCCGGGUCGGCAGUGGAUACGGGCAGGCUAGAGGUAGGUAGGGGAGAAUGGAAUUCCCGGUGUAGCGGUGAAAUGCGCAGAUAUCGGGAGGAACACCGGUGGCGAAGGCGGUUCUCUGGGCCUUACCUGACGCUGAGGAGCGAAAGCGUGGGGAGCGAACAGG